rnacentral:lncRNA from 1 species
AUGAUGGUUUGUUGCCUGCUGGCUCCACACAGGUGUGAUGUCCAUGCAUGUACCAUGUCCAAUUCCGUGAUCUCAAGUUAUUGCUGUGUGACUAAAGCUGAAAUGGGGAGAAUUUUGACCAAAUGUGGGAGAAGGCAAAGAUUGAAACUCUUGCUGAAAAACUUCUCACUAGGAUGCAUUUUGAGAAUAUCCACCAAUGCAGUCUUGGAUGUGGUAAGGAGCUGUGGCAUGCAGACAAAGCUCGCCUGGGCUUGCAUCUGCUCAGACUCAUUCCCACCAUUCUGGGUCCUUCUUUACUUCGUUCAGAGUUCAGCUCUGCUAACAUCAUCAGAGGCACCCUCAGGGCUUCUGUCGAUGAGAAGCAGGCAUGCGUGGCAGAGGAUCGGGUGAAGGCGGAACCAGAGGAUGACCAUGUGGAGGAGACUGACUCAGCACAGACAAAAGCCUGGAGCAGGGAGUGGGGCCUGGGGAAUUUCAUCUCCUAUCUUCACCUUGCCAGGACCUGA